GGUCGAUCGCACCUUCCGGCAUUUGCUGGUAGACAUUACCGGCAACACCCAUCGUGCCGAAAUCUGCAUCGACAAACUUUACUCACCCGACAGCCCCACAGGGCGUCUCGGUCUCGUCGAAUUCCGCGCGCUGGAGAUGCCGCCUGACGCGCGCAUGAGCCUUGCGCAGCAGCUUGUGAUCCGCGCGUUGAUCGCGAAAUUCUGGCGCGAACCGCAGGAUGGCCGCUUCACGCGCUGGGGGACGACACUGCAUGAUCGCUUCAUGCUACCGUAUUUCCUCUGGGAGGAUUUCAGGGGCGUGCUCUCGGAUUUGAAGCAGGCUGGUUACGAU
rnacentral:misc_RNA from 1 species